CAGGGAUCAGUCUGGGGGGCACCUGGGGGGCUUAGUUGGUUGAGCGUCCGACUCUUGAUUUCAGCUCAGGGUCGUGAGAUCGAGUCCCAUGUCAGGCUCCGUGCUCAGUGGCGAGUCUGCUUUAAGAUUCUCUGUGUCCCUCUCCCUCUGCCCCUUCCCCCCCUGCGCACUCUCUCUCUCUCUAAUAAAUAAAUUAAUAUUUAAAAAAAACAAAAAACAGGGAAGGGUCUAGGAGCAGGGACAGCAGGGACAAAGACUGGAGGGAGGGAUGCAGACGGCCUCUGUGGGAUAGGUGGAGAGGCUGGCCGAGGGUUGUGUGCAUUGUUGCUGGAGAUCAGUAUGAAAGGAAGCUGGGCCCCUGUGGGGAGGGCGGAGUAGAGGACCACUGAGAUGUGGCAUCGGAGUUUGAAGUUCAUGGGGCAGGUGACACGGUUCCAAAUUCUUGCUUGAGGAAGUGACACAGUGAGAUGGUACAUAUAUAAAAUUGGCGAAAGCAUAUCCAGGUGGCUGGGACUCGGGAAGGAUGAGGGCAGGUGAGUUAGGAAUGAGAAAUAGGUAAGGAGGCCUUGCAGAUGCCUCCCAGCAAUGGUCCAUCCCAUUGUGUUUUUCAGUGUUGCAGUGAGACAGUGAGCCCUUGGGCUGCGUUUCCUUUGAGUUGUUGGCAGACAAAGUUCCAAAGACAGCAGAGAAUUUUCCUGCUCUGAGCACCGGGGAGAAAGAAUUUGGUUAUAAAGCUUCCUGCUUUCACAGGAUUAUUCCGGGCUCUCUGUGCCAGGGUGGUGACGUCACUCGCCAUCAUGGCACGGCGGCUGGUCCAUCUGUGGGGAGAAAGCGGAUGAUGAGAAUUUCAUCCUGAAACACACGGGUCCUGGCGUCUUGUCCAUGGCAGAUGCUGGACCCAACACAAAUGGUUCCAGGGUUUUCGUCUGCACUGCCAAGACUGAGUGGAUGGCAAGAGUGUGGUCUUUGGCAAGGUGAGCAAGGGCAGGAAUAUUGUGGACACCAUGCAGUGCUUUGGGUCCCGGAGUGGCAGGACCAGCAAGAAGAUCCCCAUUGCUGACUGUGGACAAAUCUAAUAAAUUUGACUUCCGUGUUAUCUUAAGCACCCGACCAUUCCUUCUGUAGCUUGGGAGAGUACCCCGUCACCCAUAACUGCUCGAAAUGUCCUAUAAUCUUUGUGUUCUCACUACAGUUCUGCGGAUCCAUAUUUUCCUUACUCCCCUCCAAGUCUAGCUGGAUUGCAGAGUUAAGUUUAUGAUAAAGAAAUAAAAAGCAAACAGCAACAGACCUCUUCUCAUAAGAGGUCAUGAGACGCUAUUCAUCUGGGGCCUGGGAUGGCGAGUCAGAAAAAAGAAGCGAUAGCCUAUCUAAAAGCAUUUGAAGAGGUAGACUUGCAGAACUUAGUGAUGGAUGGAUGUGGGGCAUGAAGAAGGAGGAGUCAAAGAUGAUUCCCGAGUCAGGCUUACAGGACAGAUAGGUGAUGUGGGUGUCUGUAAGUGAAAUAAUUCCUUCAGCAGAUAUUUGAGGGCCUACAUUGGGGGAUUAUGUAUUCUAGGCAAAGAAGGGGGAUGAAAAAGCUGCCAAGGAAACAUGAGCAGAAAAAAGCCCAUGGCUUGAGCUGGACUGAAUGGCUUCAUAGAUGACCAGCUCAGACCCACCUACUGGGGGGAGGGGGUGGUGGUCCCUGUCCUCCAAAUGAAAAGAAGGGAAGGGAUUGAGGGGAUUGUUCUCUUCCCAACAGCAACCAUGAACAGUGUUAGGAUAUUUUUUCAAGUUGGCAUUUCUCUAUGCUUAAUAAAGAUGUCAAGCCUACCGUUCAGAGUCUACUCACCAAAAAAACCUAUUAAAUCACCAUUCUGCUUAGGAAAAGCCCACACAUACUCUUUUAACUCUGCCAAGAUAGAGAUCUCUGGAUCCCAACGGUCUCAAACACGAAAGUUAAAAUACCAUAAAAGCACAAGGAACUUUACAGAAGAAAUAGAAAAAUAAGCUGGUGUGCUGAAGUUUCUUUAGACACUAUGUCUUUUGGACUUGGUUAUAUAAUGGUGCCCAUUGAGCAGACUCUUGGUUAAUGUUCUUCUGGACAGAUUAGGCUAUGUUAUUCUUCUCUUGGCUUGCCCCUUCUCUGUGUUACUUGGCAAAGGGUUUCUGUAUCCUUUAUUCCUUUGUUUUCAUCAUUUAUUUCACAAUUUUCCACUUCGGCUUCAAAGAUGACUAUAUAUAUGCAUGUAUAUA